CGCGUGUGGGAAGAAGGCCUUCGGGUUGUAAAGCACUUUAAGCGAGGAGGAAUGGCUCUAGGUUAAUACCCUUGAGCAGUGACGUUACUCGCAGAAUAAGCACCGGCUAACUCUGUGCCAGCAGCCGCGGUAAUACAGAGGGUGCAAGCGUUAAUCGGAAUUACUGGGCGUAAAGCGCGCGUAGGCGGUUACGUAAGUUGGAGGUGAAAUCCCCGAGCUCAACUUGGGAAUUGCCUUCAAAACUGCGUGGCUAGAGUGUGGGAGAGGAAGGUAGAAUUCCAGGUGUAGCGGUGAAAUGCGUAGAUAUCUGGAGGAAUACCGAUGGCGAAGGCAGCCUUCUGGCCUAACACUGACGCUGAGGUGCGAAAGCAUGGGGAGCAAACAGGAUUAGAUACCCUGGUAGUCCAUGCCGUAAACGAUGUCUACUAGCCGUUGGGGGACUUGAUCCUUUAGUGGCGCAGCUAACGCAUUAAGUAGACCGCCUGGGGAGUACGGUCGCAAGACUAAAACUCAAAUGAAUUGACGGGGGCCCGCACAAGCGGUGGAGCAUGUGGUUUAAUUCGAUGCAACGCGAAGAACCUUACCUGGCCUUGACAUGUCUGGAAUCCUGUAGAGAUACGGGAGUGCCUUCGGGAAUCAGAACACAGGUGCUGCAUGGCUGUCGUCAGCUCGUGUCGUGAGAUGUUGGGUUAAGUCCCGCAACGAGCGCAACCCUUGUCCUUAGUUGCCAGCACGUAAUGGUGGGAACUCUAGGGAGACUGCCGGUGACAAACCGGAGGAAGGCGGGGACGACGUCAAGUCAUCAUGGCCCUUACGGCCAGGGCUACACACGUGCUACAAUGGUCGGUACAAAGGGUUGCCAACUCGCGAGAGUGCGCUAAUCUCAAAAAGCCGAUCGUAGUCCGGAUUGGAGUCUGCAACUCGACUCCAUGAAGUCGGAAUCGCUAGAAAUCGCGGAUCAGAAUGCCGCGGUGAAUACGUUCCCGGGCCUUGUACAC
rnacentral:rRNA from 1 species